rnacentral:rRNA from 1 species
GACGGAAGGUGCAAGCGUUGCUCGGAAUCACUGGGCUUAAAGGGUGCGUAGGCGGCUUGGUAAGUUGGGUGUGAAAGCCCCGGGCUCAGCCCGGGAAGGGCACUCGAAACUGCCGAGCUGGAGUGCCGGAGGGGAGAGUGGAAUUCCUGGUGUAGCGGUGAAAUGCGUAGAUAUCAGGAGGAAUACCGGUGGCGAAAGCGACUCUCUGGACGGCAACUGACGCUGAGGCACGAAAGCGUGGGGAGCAAACAGG